rnacentral:rRNA from 1 species
AACGAACGCUGGCGGCAUGCCUAACACAUGCAAGUCGAACGAGACCUUCGGGUCUAGUGGCGCACGGGUGCGUAACGCGUGGGAACCUGCCUUUAGGUUCGGAAUAACUCAGAGAAAUUUGAGCUAAUACCGGAUGAUGUCUUCGGACCAAAGAUUUAUCGCCUUUAGAUGGGCCCGCGUUGGCUUAGCUAGUUGGUGGGGUAAAGGCCUACCAAGGCGACGAUCCAUAGCUGGUCUGAGAGGAUGAUCAGCCACACUGGGACUGAGACACGGCCCAGACUCCUACGGGAGGCAGCAGUGGGGAAUAUUGGACAAUGGGCGAAAGCCUGAUCCAGCAAUGCCGCGUGAGUGAUGAAGGCCUUAGGGUUGUAAAGCUCUUUUACCCGAGAUGAUAAUGACAGUAUCGGGAGAAUAAGCUCCGGCUAACUCCGUG